UAGGUCUGGGCAUGGAGAACAUAGGGGAUCUCUAUAACGUGUAUAUCUAUGUAUGUAACGUGUGUAUCUAUGUCUGUAUCUCUAGGUCUGGGCAUGGAGAACAUCGGGGGAUCUCUAUAACGUGUAUAUCUAUGUAUGUAACGUGUGUAUCUAUGUCUGUAUCUCUAGGUCUGGGCAUGGAGAACAUAGGGGAUCUCUAUAACGUGUGUAUCUAUGUCUGUAUCUCUAGGUCUGGGCAUGGAGAACAUCGGGGGCAUCUUCGUGGUGCUGAUCUGCGGCCUCAUCCUGGCCGUGUUCGUGGCCGUCAUGGAGUUCGUCUGGUCCACCCGCCACUCGGGGUCCGACGAGGUACACACGCCCCUUCACCACCCCUCCUCCUCCUCAGGCCACGCCCACUGCCAACACACCCCAGUGUCCGUCUGUCAGGAGAUGAUGUCAGAGUUCCGGAACGCCGUCUCCUGCAGGAAGAGCUCGCGGUCGCGGCGCCGCCGGCCACUGACCGGCUCGGCGGGGGGCGGAGUCCUGAGGCCCCGCCCCCGGCCCCGCCCACUGCGGCUGGUGAGGGACGUGCGCUUCAGCAACGGCCAGCUGUGCGGCCUGGGGGGGGGCUUCGGGCCCCCGGGGGGGGGCUGGACCCGGGGCCCGGCCCCCACCGCCUCCUGGUGGAGGACCCGUUAGGGGCCGACGUGGGCCCGCCGGCCCCUCCCCCGGCCCCUCUGGCUCCUCCCCCCACCGCCAAGCCCCUCCUCCCCAUGCUGUCGGCGCCGCCCCCCCCGGUGGCCCCGCCCCCGCUGGCCGCCCGGGUCUGCCAGGAGUGCCGCCGCAUCCAGGCGCUGCGGCCGUCUCACCCGUCUCACCCGUCUCACCCGCCGCCCCCGCCCUCCUCCUCCUCGCUCACCCCUCUGGCCCUGUCGCCGCGGCAACACCACCACCACUACCACCACCACCACCAGCACCACCAGCAGCACCCCCACCACCACCUCCUCCUGCACCCCCCCCACCACCACUACCACCACGGCUCCAUGUCCCUGCCCCGCCUCCCCCCCCCACCUCCCCCCCCUCCCCCCCACCUCCUCCUCCGCCUCCGACCGGGCCGACAGCGACGGGGGAGGGGGGGGCGGAGUCGGCUGCAGGAUGAAGCCCCUCCCUCCACCACGCCCCCUCCCCCCGCCCGCUAA
rnacentral:lncRNA from 1 species